AUUGAAAUACGGGUUUCCGUACAAUCACCGAAGUUAAGCAAAGUCGAGCCUAGUCAGCACUUAGAUGGGUGACCACUGGCGAAUACCAGGUGCUGUAAG